UGUUAUCUAUAUGAAUAUUUUCUGAGAUUUAUUUGUUUGUGAUAAAUUUAAGUUAAAUAUUUUCUUGUGACACAUUGAAGUUAAAUAUUGUUUAUUUAUAUUGCUGCCACAAGUGGCCACAAAACUCUAAAAUACUAAACAUCUACAGUAGCUGACGUUUAUAUAUGUGACUAAAUAUCACGCGGAAGUAGUUCAUAACGACAAUAAAUAAAUAGAAGAAAUCUAAACAGGGCCGUAAUCAGGAAAGAGACGAGUAUUAAUAGAAAAUAAGGAAAGAAAGAUGAUUAUUGAAAACGAGUUGGAGAAGAUCUUCCUGAGGAAAAAUAUAAAUUUCUUAAACAUAAAAUGCACAAAAGUUGUGUAUGGGUGAAUUUUGUAUUCCUAAUUAAUUAAUAUUUUUGAAUAAAUUUACCGCGGCUGCCCAUCGAUAUGAGUAAAUUACGUUAAAAAAAAUGUGUGUGUACUUUGUACGCACGUAAGAUGUUAUACUUCUAUUAUAUGAUUUCUUUAAAAUAAAUAUACUUUAAACAGUU